AGUGAACGCUGGCGGUGGGCCUAACACAUGCAAGUCGAACGGCAGCACAGUAAGAGCUUGCUCUUACGGGUGGCGAGUGGCGGACGGGUGAGGAAUACAUCGGAAUCUACUUUUUCGUGGGGGAUAACGUAGGGAAACUUACGCUAAUACCGCAUACGACCUACGGGUGAAAGCAGGGGAUCUUCGGACCUUGCGCGAUUGAAUGAGCCGAUGUCGGAUCAGCUAGUUGGCGGGGUAAAGGCCCACCAAGGCGACGAUCCGUAGCUGGUCUGAGAGGAUGAUCAGCCACACUGGAACUGAGACACGGUCCAGACUCCUACGGGAGGCAGCAGUGGGGAAUAUUGGACAAUGGGCGCAAGCCUGAUCCAGCCAUACCGCGUGGGUGAAGAAGGCCUUCGGGUUGUAAAGCCCUUUUGUUGGGAAAGAAAAGCAGCAGGUUAAUACCCCGCUGUUCUGACGGUACCCAAAGAAUAAGCACCGGCUAACUUCGUG
rnacentral:rRNA from 1 species